rnacentral:lncRNA from 1 species
GAGUUCUCUUUUGUUUGAGAUCAACCACAACAUAAAUAGACAGAGAGUGAACAAGUGAAAGAAAUAUAAUAAGUCCAUGUAUGCUUGUUUUCUAUGUAGUUCACAACAUACAUAAUUUUGGCAGCAACCGUGGCUAUUUACUUACCUCGGGUUUAUUACAAUGUCCUAAGACUUCCUGCUGUUGCUGCCUGAUAUUGCAUCUAACUGCACAUGAUGUGAAGUACUACUGCCUGGAGAGCUUUCCCAAGGUAAGUCCACACACACACGUCUAUAUAUCAACACGCAUACAAGGAGAGAUACCAUAUCUUUCAUAUACACACACACACUCACACACACGCAUAUUCAUACCACCAGUAUUAACAAUAACAACGGAAUAUAUUGUAUCUAGCUAACAUGGUGCGUUAUUUAUUAUUAGAUAUAUGCUCUUGUAUUCACUAAGGCAACCUUACAUACACACACACAUAUAUAUAUAUAUAUAUAUACACACAUAUUUUCUUGACCAAAGCAAAAGCAUAAAUGUAUCUUUUUUUUAUUAUUAUUAUCUUUCAAUCACAUCUCAUUUUGCAUUUUGUUGCUUUUGUCCACUCCUAGUCCUUGAUUUAUAUGAAAAAAAAACAUGAAAAAACUGUAUACACAUAUAUCAUCAGAUAAAAAUAUAAAAAAAAUAAAAAGACUUCAAACGAAUGAAAUUUUUUUACUGUGCUAUAUUUUAAUAUAAACAUAGACUCGGGUACUGACCAAAUAUUAAUUUGAUCAUGAGGAUAUUAAAAUUACGAAACUGAAGUUUUGCAUUUUAUUGUAUGAGUGUGAUGGUGUUAUCUGAUGAAUGUUUAUUCUUCUUUCCUCUGUCUCUAUCCUAUUAGUUUCCAUGGCCUUCGUUUUUCCUUCAUAAAUAGAUACAGUAGAAGGCGAGGGACAUAGCUUGUUUUGUUUUGUUUAUUGUGGUAUGAAGACGAAGGCUCUUUGUUGCGUAGCAAGUCUUGCUUAAUUUUUUUUUCAUAGACCAUAGUGUUUUUGUUUUGUUAUUUUGCUAUUAUUAUCCUUAUCUCUUUAUAGUUUAAGGUCAUUGUUUUAUUUAUGUAUUUACGAUGUAUUUGUUUAUAUCUGUCUUGAGUCAAACGAAAGCAUGCAUUUUUGUCCACUACCAUUCCUACUGAUUUAAAAAGCAAUACGUAUUUAGUAUAUAUAUAUAUAUAUAUAUAAAAGUCGAGGUCUUUAGUUAUGAAUUUCAACGAGCGUCUCUUCUCACACAUAUAACACGCGUAUAUAAACGCUGUUUAUAUGUGUGUAUAUAUACAUACAUACAUACAUGCAUAUAUAUAUAUAUAUACACACACACUCGUACACACAUUCCCACUCGUACAUAUAAACAUUGUUCGUCUUUUCCCCAUUUGUGUUUAUAUAUAUAUAUACAUAUAUAUACACAUAUACAUACACUUUCAUAGAUUUGUAUGUGCAUGUUAGUGUAACCUCGUUAUACAUGUAUAUUGUACAUAUGUUUCUUUUAUGGUUUCCUCUCCGUACUUAUGAUGUUAAGCUGUGAGCAUUACAUUAUGUUAGCUUUUUUUUUUUCUUGUUUCAUGUACUAUUUAUUUGGCGCAGGUUCUUCGAAACGGUGCAAGGUUUACAGUGUGCCAGUGGUGGUAUCAUCGAGUAAUAUCCAGACAAGCCUGGGCUGCCUGUUGUUUGGCAAGACUGCGCAUCUCUGGAGUGAGUUGAGAGGGUGGCAGGUCUAUCUAUAUCUCAGCGGUUUGUUGUCAAUCACUCCCGUAGUCCUCUUUCAAGCAUUUUCAUGAUGCUGGUAGUUAUGAUGCGGAUAAUAAUAAUAAUAAGAUAUUAAAUAAUACGUCGGCAACAGAAAUAGAUAAAAGGAAUUAUAAAUAGAAACAAAAGUCAAAGGUAUACAAUGAUGAAAGGAUAGAAAAAUUAUACUUUCAGUAGUGCGCACCUGCUCGUAUUUUUCUCUAUUCCCAUGGUAAAUUUCUAUUAGGAAAACCUUUCCUAUGUCAAUAAAGCUUACUCUAGAUAUGUGAAUGUUUGGUUAUUUCGUUAAUAAGCAGUUAAUUAUAUAUAUAUAUAAGCAGAUAAACAAAUUUUAUAUAUAUACACGCACAAAAAAGCGAUCAGCUAACACGAACUAUAUAAAUUCAGUCUAUAAGGGGAACGGUGAAAAUGUAUGAGACAUUGCUAAAAAUCAAAAUGUAUCUCUUAGCUGUUGUUUUCAUCUAAAUUCCAACAGUGGAGCUUUGUUUCUUGGUUAGAAUCUAACUCUUCUUUAUAAAGGAAGGGUUCAGAGAAUUAGAAAGAAAAGAAAAAUUGCAGUCACAUACGCACACGUUUUUACAUUUGUUCAGUGCUAAAAAAACCAGAUUUUGAUUUCAACAUUUGUGUAACCACUCACACGUGUAUCCUUAUUUUUAGCGCAGACGUGAUUAUAAGGAAGUGAAAGAUGGUGAACUGUUCUAUAUACGUUCUUCACCAAGAAAUAUGUUUAUAAUAUAUAAACACAACGCACAUACACACACACAUAUAGUGAUCAAUUCAAAUACUUGUUCUAGAUUACUUCGUAUUUAUUUUUUAAUUUUUAUUUGAUACUAGUCUGACCCCGAUAUUUUGAUCUGAAUAUAAUAUAUUCUUUGAAAGAUUUUUUUUUUGUCUUUGCAAUGAAACAAGGCUAGGAUAUUCAUAAAGGAACGGCUCUUUUUUUUUUCUUCAAUGCUUUAAGUUAAGGUCUGCUACAACUAUGAGGAGGUGGCUGCUUUUAAGGAUCUCUCUCUCUCUCUCUCUCUCUGCAUUCUUGAUUAGCCUUGGUACGGUUUAAUGGACCGUACAAAGAAAACCUGGUUAGAGAUAGGGUUAUAUUUGGCAACGAUAUUUCUCCUCGCUUACUCACACUUUGUCAUCAUGACAUCAGGUAACCGUGGUUAAAAUAUGAACCCGACUAUAAUAAAAAAAACAAACAAACUACUGUGGAGUAUUGUGUUGGCUCUUUCAAUGUGUACAUUUAAUAUUUAUAAUUUCAAUUCACUCCAGUAUGUCUAUUAUCUCUCUCUCUCUCUCUCUCUCUCUCUCACACGCACGCACAUCACGUCUUCAUAUAUACACACCAUCAGUAUUUGAAAGUAAAGUUUUGCUGAUAAUUACGGAAACAUAUUCACAAUAAAUAAACAUUCCCAAAUUUGUGAUGGAUGCCAUAUUUAGGCUAUUUGUUGUUCUUUAUCUUCUAAUCGAUUAAAGCUGUUCCAGUUAUGAUCAGACCGUCUUUUUUUUUUUUGUAUAUCAAGCUCUACAUUGUCCAAUAUUUCUUUAAAAAAGAAAAAAAAAAUGUUUGGCAAGACCUCCUUUUUUGUACCCCCCCCCUUUUUUUUUAAAAUUUAACAUAACCAAGAGACAUUCAGAUACCUGCAUGUGUGUAUUAGAACAGGAUUAAGGUGUGGAUAUAUUAUAUGUGCGUACAGUCGUGUGUAUGUUCAUAUAUGUUACACACGCACGCGUGCGCGCGCGAGUAGCUAUAUGGCUUCCCACAAAGCAGAAAGUCAAGUUGUUGCGUCCAAACAGUGGUACUCAUUCUAUUGUUUAGAUCAGGCAUGGACAAUCUUUUUCGAGAAGCGGGCUGCAUGAGACACGGCCCAUUACCAGACGGAUCGCACUGCUAUUAAACUAAGGCGUGUCAUUCAGAAAGUCCUGCAGGUUGCCAUUUGCCCAUGACUGGUUUAGAUAUUUAUAUCGGAUAUACUCUCAUUUGUCUGCACAGUCAGUUAUUUAGUCUAUGCCGAUGAUAGUAAGAUAUCAAAUGACUGUAAAAGGCCACAAAAGAUCUUAAGAGGACCGUGAUGCUGUAUUCAGAUGGGCCAAAGAAAACAGGAGUGAAAUUCAGUUGAGUAAGGUUUCUACCUCUUAGCUAUUGACCUUUCAACAAAGUUCAGCCAGAAUACACAGGACUGGAACUAACUGCAGAACCAGAGUCAGAGACUUUGUGGAAUCCUGGAAUUGUAAUGAUUCAUUGGUCCAUGUAAAUAAGAUGUAAAUGG